UACGGAGGGGGCGAGCGUUAUUCGGAAUUAUUGGGCGUAAAGGGCGCGUAGGCGGCUGAACAAGUCAAAGGUGAAAUCCCUCGGCUCAACUGAGGAACUGCCUUUGAAACUGUUCGGCUUGAGGCCGGGAGGGGGUAGCGGAAUUCCCAGUGUAGCGGUGAAAUGCGUAGAUAUUGGGAGGAACACCAGUGGCGAAGGCGGCUACCUGGACCGGUCCUGACGCUGAGGCGCGAAAGCGUGGGUAGCAAACAGG
rnacentral:rRNA from 1 species